CACAAAGCUGCUGUUACUUUUCUAGGACAGCAGAACUAUACGGCAGCAAAAUAAGCUGGCGAGUAGGUAGAAAAUAUCUGCAGCUCUUACACCUAGAUCCAGAAGUGGAGAUGCUGUUGGGAAGCAUCUAUGUAGAGCAAAGAAGUGCGAAAUAUUAUUAUUUGUGGAAAGAAUGAUACAGCUUGAGGCAGCAUGGCCACCCACAAGGAAUCGGUGCGGGACAAUGGCCUUGCCAUGGAACCAGUGUGCACGUAUGCUUCUGAGUAAAAGAGAAAUGGUCAGGGGCACAGGACUUCUGACUGCCCGGGGUGUGUGUGGUGGGGUUCCUCACUCCCUAGUGCUGCUUUGGAUGCUCCGGUUGAUCUCUCCAGACAGCUCUUCCAUAAAAUAAAAUAAGGAAUCAAGGCGGACAAGCUCUAGUGCAGGGAGCAGGCCUUUGCCCUCUUUUUCUUAGUUGUAUGUACGUACCCUGAGAGCUCCACUGUUCUCUUUAGUUGCAGAAUAAGGCCAACUGUUAUAUGGCUUAUAAUACUAUUUUUAUUCAUAAAAUGCAGUGUACACACACAAAUUGUUGUCCUAUUGUAUUAUGCUAAAAAGCCAGAUUUGGGCUUGUCAGUGGAUUGCCUGAAGCAAGAAAAUGUAUGGAAGAGCAUAAACAAUACAUUGUAUGCUGAUAUUGGUCGUGGCUUUUCUUCCUUUGUGUGCUCUG